rnacentral:misc_RNA from 1 species
AACGCACAUUGCGCUUCCGGGUAUUCCCGGGAGCACGCCUGUUUGAGAAUCGAUAAAUCUCUCCGUGCUAAUGCCCUGGUGCCUUCGGGUGGCAGGGUCUGUGCGCGAGGAAUUGGGCCUUUUUUGAAUCAUCCUCACGGGUGAAGACAAUGGCCUCAAACGGAAUGUCCGCGAGUGUAUUCUUUGCACAAAGAAUUUAAAAAUCGCCAGGGUGCUAGAACUUUAUGGACUUUCGCCCGAGUCGUUGUCUUUGUGGUUUGAAGGAUUGAUCGCGUGAACCCAAGUGUUUCAUUGGGGGUCGCUCGGAUAGGGUGGUCUCCAACUAACUUGGUCUCAAAUCAGGCGGGAAAACCCGCUGAACUUAA